rnacentral:rRNA from 1 species
UUUAUGGAGAGUUUGAUCCUGGCUCAGGAUGAACGCUGGCGGCGUGCCUAAUACAUGCAAGUCGAGCGAACGGACGAGAAGCUUGCUUCUCUGAUGUUAGCGGCGGACGGGUGAGCAACACGUGGAUAACCUACCUAUAAGACUGGGAUAACUUCGGGAAACCGGAGCUAAUACCGGAUAAUAUUUU